GGACUUGCUCCCUGAGCUAUUGGCAGCCACAGAAACCAGGCCGCUGCAACUGUUUAUUAAAAACAUAGCACUCUGCAAACACGAAAGUGGACGUAUAGGGUGUGAUGCCUGCCCGGUGCUGGAAGGUUAAUUGAUGGGGUUAGCGUAAGCGAAGCUCUUGAUCGAAGCCCCAGUAAACGGCGGCCGUAACUAUAACGGUCCUAAGGUAGCGAAAUUCCUUGUCGGGUAAGUUCCGACCUGCACGAAUGGCAUAAUGAUGGCGGCGCUGUCUCCAGCAGAGGCUCAGUGAAAUCGAAAUCGCUGUGAAGAUGCAGUGUACCCGCGGCUAGACGGAAAGACCCCGUGAACCUUUACUGCAGCUUGACAUUGAACUUUGACCUUACUUGUGUAGGAUAGGUGGGAGGCUUUGAAGUUGGAACGCCAGUUCCAAUGGAGCCGUCCUUGAAAUACCACCCUGGUAAUGUUGAGGUUCUAACUCUGUCCCGUUAUCCGGGACGAGGACCAUGUCUGGUGGGUAGUUUGACUGGGGCGGUCUCCUCCUAAAGAGUAACGGAGGAGUACGAAGGUGCGCUCAGCGUGGUCGGAAAUCACGCGUAGAGUAUAAAGGCAAAAGCGCGCUUAACUGCGAGACCCACAAGUCGAGCAGGUACGAAAGUAGGUCUUAGUGAUCCGGUGGUUCUGUAUGGAAGGGCCAUCGCUCAACGGAUAAAAGGUACUCUGGGGAUAACAGGCUGAUACCGCCCAAGAGUUCAUAUCGACGGCGGUGUUUGGCACCUCGAUGUCGGCUCAUCUCAUCCUGGGGCUGAAGCAGGUCCCAAGGGUAUGGCUGUUCGCCAUUUAAAGAGGUACGCGAGCUGGGUUUAGAACGUCGUGAGACAGUUCGGUCCCUAUCUACCGUGGGCGCUGGAAAUUUGAGAGGAUCUGCUCCUAGUACGAGAGGACCAGAGUGGACGAACCUCUGGUGUACCGGUUGUGACGCCAGUCGCAUCGCCGGGUAGCUAUGUUCGGAAGGGAUAACCGCUGAAAGCAUCUAAGCGGGAAGCCUACCUCAAGAUAAGAUUUCCCUAGGACUUUAUGUCCUCUAAAGAGCCGUUGAAGACUACGACGUUGAUAGGUUGGAUGUGGAAGCAUAGUGAUAUGUGAAGCUGACCAAUACUAAUUGCUCGUGAGGCUUGACUAU
rnacentral:rRNA from 1 species